ensembl:snRNA LOC120094546 U4 spliceosomal RNA
AGCUUUGUGCAGUGGCAGUAUUGUAACCAAUGAGGUUUAUCUAAAGCGCGAUUAUUGCUAAUUUAAACUGGGUCUCACCAUGUAGCCCAGGCUAGCCUCUAAUUUGUAAUCUUCCUGAAUCUGCCUUUUGAGUUAUAAAGAUCAGAAGAUAUAGUCAUUAGAAAUUUAUAAUAUAGUUUUAUUGUU